rnacentral:rRNA from 1 species
UACGGAGGGUGCGAGCGUUGUCCGGAAUCACUGGGCGUAAAGGGCGCGUAGGUGGCGCGGGCAGUCAACGGUGAAAGUUCGGGGCUCAACCCUGAAUCGGCCUCGAUACUCCCGGGCUGGAGCACUGUAGAGGCUAAUGGAAUUCCGGGUGUAGCGGUGGAAUGCGUAGAGAUCCGGAAGAACACCGGUGGCGAAGGCGGUUAGCUGGGCAGUUGCUGACACUGAGGCGCGACAGCGUGGGGAGCAAACAGGG